UGGGGGGUGUUAAGUUAACCGACUUGAACUUGACGUGAAAGUAUAAGCAGAGCGUCUGUUUGAUAUAGUUAUUUAUUCCAUACAUGAGCACGGCUCCAUCAUUGAACACAAGUGAACUGGCAUACAUGGCAUACAUGCAGGUAUGAGAAGCCGUAAUACCUCAAAUAUAACAACCAACACUAUUACCGUAAUGUAUUGAUAAGAGCUGUUACAAUUUAUGACACAAAUAAAUGGGUAAAAACAACUUUCUUCAGAGUUCUCCUCAUAGAAUUUAAGGUGAAAUGUAACAUAUUCACAACACUCUGUGUAUCAUCUGUUCAUUCUGUUGUUAAAGAGAGAGAGAGAGAGAAGUAUGAACUUUUCAUUUAAUAAUCUUCUUCUGACAUUUUAUAUUCCCUGUUUGUAUUUUCUGUGACUGAAUGUGGUUUUAAAUCUGUUGAGGUCUGUUCAGACUGAAAGCAGAGACACUGAUGAUGUCAUACAAAGUCAGAAAAUAGAAAGCUAACUGUUUCCAGCAGACACUAAAGAAUGAUGGAGCAGCAGGAAACAGACCAGGUCAGAUAGGAAACAGCUGAUUUAUUCAUCUGACCUGUAGAAUAACCUCAAUGAUUGAAUUGGUUUAAAUGUCUGGGAAUGUGGAACAACUAAAUGCAAAAUGAAUGAAAUAAAACAAGGCCACAUGCUGAUUAUUAGUGACUUGAUUUGAUGGAUUUAUUCUUCCUGUUGUGUCUGUGUUUAAACUCCUAAUUAAAAGGUAAAGUUUCCAUCCA